UAAUUACAAAAGUCAAUGGCAGUACACAUAUGGAUGGCAAUGCUGCUGCUGCUACUGCUAAGUCACUUCAGUCGUGUCCAACUUUGUGCAACCCCAGAGACGGCAGCCGAGCAGGCCCCCUGUCCCUGGGAUUCUCCAGGCAAGAACACUGGAGGGGGUUGCCAUUUCCUUGGGAAGGAGACAAAUCAUUGGUAAUUUUUUUUUUUUUUUCAAGAAAUAGGGCAAAUUUGGGAAAUUCUCACAGGGUAAAUAAAGAUGCCAUCUACCUUGAAGGAUGUUUAGUUAGUUAGUUAGUUCAGUCACUCAGUCGCAUCCAACUGUUUGUGACCCCAUGAAUCGCAGCACUCCAGGUCUCCCUGUCCAUCACCAAACCCUGGAGUUCACUCAGACUCAUGUCCGUCGAAUCAGUGUCGCCAUCCAGCCAUCUCAUCCUCUGUCAUCCCCAUUCCCUCCUACCCCCAAUCCCCCCCCCCCCCCCAGCCUUUUCCAAUGAGUCAACUCUUCUCAUGAGAUGGCCAAAGUACUGGAGUUUCAGCUUCAGCAUCAUUUCCUCCAAAGAAAUCCCAGGGCUGAUCUCUUUCAGAAUGGGCUGGUUGGAUCUCCUUGCAGUCCAAGGGACUCUCAAGAGUCUUCUCCAAUACCACAGUUCAAAAGCAUCAAUUCAUUGGCUAUCAGCUUUCUUCACAGUCCAACUCUCACAUCCAUACAUGACCACAGGAAAAACCAUAGCCUUGACUAGAUGGACCUUUGUUGGCAAAGUAAUGUCUCUGCUUUUCAAUAUGCUAUCUAGGUUGGUCAUAACUUUUCUUCCAAGGAGUAAGUGUCUUUUAAUUUCAUGGCUGCAGUCACCAUCUGCCCCCAAAAAUAAAGUCUGACACUGUUUCCACUGUUUCCCCAUCUAUUUCCCAUGAAAUGAUGGAAUCAGAUGACAUGAUCUUCAUUUUCUGAAUGUUGAGCUUUAUCUUUUUAAGUUUUUUUGUUUACAUUUUCACAGUCAUUUCAUUUCUUUUUUUUAAUAUAUAUUAUACAUAUUUCAAUGCCAUUCUCCCAAAUCAUCCCACCUUCUCCCUCCCCACAGAGUCCAAAAGCCUGUUCUAUACAUCUGUGUCUCUUUUGCUGUCUCGCAUACAGGGUUAUCAUUACCAUCUUUCUACAUUCCAUAUAUGUUUGUUAGUAUACUGUAUUGGUGUUUUUCUUUCUGGCUUACUUCACUCUGUAUAAUAGGCUCCAGUUUUGUCCACCUCAUUAGAACUGAUUCAAAUUGUUGAGCUUUUAAGCCAACUUUUUCACUCUCCUCUUUCACUUUCAUCAAGAGGGAACCAAUCACAUAUAUUUAUUAUU
rnacentral:lncRNA from 1 species